rnacentral:rRNA from 1 species
CCUACGGGUGGCAGCAGUGAGGAAUAUUGGUCAAUGGACGCAAGUCUGAACCAGCCAUGCCGCGUGCAGGACGACGGCCCUAUGAGUUGUAAACUGCUUUUGUACGAGGGCAAACGCAGACACGCGUACCUUCCUGAAGGUAUCGUGCGAAUAAGGAUCGGCUAACUCCGUGCCAGCAGCCGCGGUAAUACGGAGGAUUCAAGCGUUAUCCGGAUUUAUUGGGUUUAAAGGGUGCGUAGGCGGGCGGAUAAGUUAGAGGUGAAAUCCCGGGGCUCAACAUCGGAACUGCCUUUGAUACUGGCCGGCUUGAGAGUGCGUGAGGUAGGCGGAAUGUAUGGUGUAGCGGUGAAAUGCUUAGAGAUCAUACAGAACACCGAUUGCGAAGGCAGCUUACCGGGGCACUUCUGACGUUGAGGCACGAAAGCGUGGGGAGCAAACAGGAUUAGAUACCCCUGUAGUC